rnacentral:SRP_RNA from 1 species
GCUGGGUGCAAUGGCUCACGCCUGUAAUCCCAGCACUUUGGGAGGCUGAGAUGGGAGGAUCACUUGAGUCCAGGAGUUCAAGACCAGCCUGGGCAACAUAGUGAGCUCCCAUCUCUA